GACGAACGCUGGCGGCGUGCUUAACACAUGCAAGUCGAACGGAAAGGCCUUUUCGGAGGUACUCGAGUGGCGAACGGGUGCGUAACACGUGGGUGAUCUGCCCUGCACUCUGGGAUAAGCCUGGGAAACUGGGUCUAAUACCGGAUAGGACCGCACUUUAGUGUGUGUGGUGGAAAGUUUUUUCGGUGUAGGAUGAGCCCGCGGCCUAUCAGCUUGUUGGUGGGGUAAUGGCCUACCAAGGCGGCGACUGGUAGCCGGACUGAGAGGUUGGUCGGCCACAUUGGGACUGAGAUACGGCCCAGACUCCUACGGGAGGCAGCAGUGGGGAAUAUUGCACAAUGGGCGCAAGCCUGAUGCAGCGACGCCGCGUGGGGGAUGACGGCCUUCGGGUUGUAAACUCCUUUCGCCAGGGACGAAGCGUUUUGUGACGGUACCUGGAGAAGAAGCACCGGCUAACUACGUG
rnacentral:rRNA from 1 species